rnacentral:rRNA from 1 species
CCCUUAGAUGUUCUGGGCUGCACGCGCGCUACACUGAUGCACUCAACGAGUUUACGACCUUGCCCGAUAGGGUUGGGUAAUCUUUUUAAAAUGCAUCGUGAUGGGGAUAGAUUAUUGCAAUUAUUAAUCUUCAACGAGGAAUUCCUAGUAAGCGCGAGUCAUCAGCUCGUGCUGAUUACGUCCCUGCCCUUUGUAUACACCGCCCGUCGCUCCUACCGAUUGAGUGCUCAGGUGAAUAAUUCGGACUGCAGCAAUGUUUGGAUCCCGAACGUUGCAGCGGAAAGUUUAGUGAACCUUAUCACUUAGAGGAAGGAGAAGUCGUAACA